GCGAGUGUAGCUCAGUUGGUUAGAGCGUCGGAUUGUGGUUCCGAAUGUCGUGAGUUCGAGUCUCAUCUCUCGCCCCA
rnacentral:tRNA from 1 species